AACACUUAGCCUUUCUUUUGUUUCUCUCCAGCCUCUCAUUGGUCCGGCGACGCCCACGGCGAUCAUUGGUCGCCGACGACGAGCUCUGUCGUUCCCGGUGGCCUAAAAACAAAAAAUAGCCCUUUUUGGCCUUUCGACUCCCCAAACCCAGAUCUAGGGUUGAUUUAAAAAAAGUCAAAAUCGCAAAAAAAAAAGAACCCUUCGGUUUCUUUAUACAACCGUCGCGUACGAUCGUUCUGCAGAACCCCAAAUCGGACCUUAAUGGAUUCUGGGUUUUUGGUGCCGGAGAAGACCUCUGACGACGAUAGAAGGCAAAACGACAGGUAAAGUUCUAAUUUUUAUUUGUUAUUUUUUUUAGUUCGAAAAUAAAAAUAAAAAUAAAAUGCUACCUUUUUUUUCUUUUGAAACUUGAUACUUCUUUUUUUUUCUCUGUAUAUUUUCGUCUGUAAAAAAUUACAAUCUGGUUAUGGCUUUUAUAUCCCUAGAUUACACUGUUUAUUAUUUUUUUGCUAUUGUUUCUACUAAUUCUGCUUUCGUUUGUGUUGUCCUUGUUUCUGUCCCUUUCUAUCCUUUUUGCAGGUAUGCGCUUGGUCAACGGAGGAGAGAAAGGCAAGCCUUUUGCUACUUUGGUGAAACGGCAGUAGAAAAGGUGCGUCAGACCUCGGGACGAGGUGCCUCGGACGGCGCCAGUGGAGCAGCGCCAGAAACCCUAGGGUUCCUAGCUAUUCUGAAAAUUUUUAAAUGUAACAGUUCGAUUUCGACCCUAAUCGGACAUAAUAGUUUCGGGACCACAAAUUUGAGUCAAAAAAUAUUUUAAUAUUGUUUUAUGUGUUUAUUAUGUGUGAAUUUGAUUGAGU
rnacentral:lncRNA from 1 species